AGCGAACGCUGGCGGCAGGCCUAAUACAUGCAAGUCGAGCGCACCUUCGGGUGAGUGGCGGACGGGUGAGUAACGCGUGGGAACGUGCCCUUUGGUACGGGAUAACUGAGGGAAACUUCAGCUAAUACCGUAUGUGCCCUACGGGGGAAAGAUUUAUCGCCAUUGGAGCGGCCCGCGUUGGAUUAGCUAGUUGGUGGGGUAAAGGCUCACCAAGGCUACGAUCCAUAGCUGGUCUGAGAGGAUGAUCAGCCACACUGGGACUGAGACACGGCCCAGACUCCUACGGGAGGCAGCAGUAGGGAAUCUUGCGCAAUGGGCGAAAGCCUGACGCAGCCAUGCCGCGUGAAUGAUGAAGGUCUUAGGAUUGUAAAAUUCUUUCACCGGGGAAGAUAAUGACGGUACCCGGAGAAGAAGCCCCGGCUAGCUUCGUGCCAGCCGCCGCAGUAACAC
rnacentral:rRNA from 1 species